rnacentral:sRNA from 1 species
UACUUGCCUCGACAGCGCUUCUAUGCGUAG